rnacentral:snRNA from 1 species
CGAUUCCGGUUGAGGAACGUGA